rnacentral:rRNA from 1 species
UACGGGGGGGGCAAGCGUUGUUCGGAAUUACUGGGCGUAAAGGGUUUGUAGGUGGCUUGCUAAGUCAGACGUGAAAUCCCUCAGCUUAACUGGGGAACUGCGUCUGAGACUGGCAAGCUCGAGUGCAGGAGAGGAACGCGGAAUUCCAGGUGUAGCGGUGAAAUGCGUAAAUAUCUGGAGGAACACCGGUGGCGAAGGCGGCGUUCUGGACUGCAACUGACACUGAAAAACGAAAGCCAGGGGAGCAAACGGG